rnacentral:lncRNA from 1 species
GUAAUUUUUUAUUUACUAUAUUAAAAUAAGUUAAAAAUUAAAUUAAAAAAAGAAGAAGAAGAAAUCAGAAUUAAAAAAAUAAAAAUAAAAUCAAUCGCCUUCUUCCCUUACCCCAUAUCAGCCAUCGCCACCUCCACCGAUCGUAUUUGCACACCCAAAAUUGACUGUAUAGAUAUUUUCUAAUAAAUCUAACAUUCUAAUACAUCACAGAAAAACAGGGGUUUCAAUAAACACAUUCACUCCUCUUGCUUCCUUUCUCCGACUUUGCUCAUUGCAUCCAAAUGAAAAAUGGGUUUCUAUUUCAUUUAUCUGACAUAUCUAGUCAGACACCCAACAUUGCUUCCGCAUCUAAAAGAAUUGAUUCUUGAAGGAAACCAAAAAAUUCUAAGCUUUCGAUGGAAUGGACCACAGUUUUUGGAACUUAGGGAGAUUUUUGCAAUUCCAAAGCUACAGCAUUUUUUCUAAUCAAAACGAACUUUCAGCAAGCUUUAUAGACUUUCUGGUUGAAACUCUACAAGUAUUGCUGGAUUCUGAAACAGAUUCCAAGGUUCCGGAGGAAGAUCAACUUAAAGUUCUUUUGAUGGAUCUAAAAUUUUGGAUCUGGAUUGGCCAGCGAAUUUGGACUUGGAGGAGGAGAGCGGAUUCGAUACAACCGUGUUGGCGUAGGUGGAGGUGUCGGUGGAGGUGGCGAUGGCGAUGGCUGAUUUGGGGGUAGGGGUGGGGAUGGCGUAGGAUGAAGAAGACGA